rnacentral:lncRNA from 1 species
CUUGGCCCCUUUCAAAGCCUGUUCUCGUCCCUGCCUCGUGCGCUCCGCCGCCUCGUUCCGUUCUCAUCCGGCUCCGGCAGGAUCCUCGCAAAGGCAGGCCUCCAUCUUCCCCUGCUCUGCCGCUACAAACCUCAACAACAAGUACAAGUCCGGCAACUGAACGCCACAAGCACCAGGUCGGCAUCGAUGACUCCCCUCUGGCUCUCUCCCACUGCAAUUCCGUGAUCUCCGAUGGCUGUAUCGCUUCUACCAGGGACGGUAUGCUAAUCCCUGAUUUUUCCUGAGCAACUCUGUAUCUGUUUUGUGGGUUCCCCUGUUUGAUGAAGGCGUCUUGUAUCAGCACGUGUUCUGCAGACCUAUGGGAAUUUGUUAGUGUAGAAAGACCUACAUAUGACAUUAUUGAACGCUAACUGAAUUUAUAUUGAACGCUAACUGACAUUGACAGUAAUUUGUGAUUUCUGGUUAGUCGUUGACAAAUUACCUUAUGUUGUUCUUUGCUAGUAACCAAUUUUUUUUUAAUUUUUUCUGUACUUCAACGUGAUUUUGACUUGACCAUUCUUUUGUGAAUCCAUGUUAACGGAAUGACAUGCUAAGCGUCCGAAGCUAAAAUUGGUAAUAAAGACAAAGGUGCCAAUAUAUAUUUCUGUUGUCACAUUGACUGUAUACUCCUUUUGACGACGUGAAGGUAAGUUCAGUUUCUUGAAAUUCAAGCAAGCUUGGAUCGAGUAACAGCUGCCUUCAUGAACUUAGAUUUUUUAAAAUCAUCUCUUUAGUAUAUAGCUUUUGUUCUUCACACAAAGAGUGAGUAAUGCCCAGAACAUGAUUUUUUUGGUUCUAACAGUGCAAGCUGUAAUGGCAAACUAUUUCCUAGUUCCUUCCAUAGGUUGAUCUACAAUUAAUCUUUUACUGUCUUCAGAAACUUAAUCAUAGUUGUGAAAUUGCAUUUGUUAGAUGUGCUAGAUAUUUAGCCUUUUCAGACGCUGUCAAAUUUUACUUAUUUAUUUCAAUACCUUGUUUUGCAGGGAUCACAGUAAAGCAAAGUCAUUCAUGCAUGACAAAUGGUUCUAGAGGAAGGCUGCGCUGCUUUCGAUCUCCCAGAAUACUGUGGCAUUGUGAACCCAGUCAAAAUUAGUUUAUAAAUUAGCAGAGAAGUGUGUUAUGCUCCAGUUCAACAGAACUUUUGUGUUGCUUUUUUAUUGCACAUGUGACUGAUGUCUGU